AAACAAAGACAGUCUUUGUUUCCCCCCAGAACCCUCAGGGGAAACGCCCCUCCAAAUAUUUUAAUGGCAAUUCCAAUGGCUCGUCCAGGGCUCACGGGACGAGGCCAGGGAAGAUCAGCGUCAGGCGGACAGAAAACAUGACUUCGGCAUCGUGGUCGCACGAGGGGACCUCUGACUCGAGCCCAGGUCCCGCCGUGGCGGCCUCUCUCCUCUGUCGGCGGUGUUUGCGGCCCGGGGCGCGGGUGGCGGGCCGCCGUUCACCUCCCAAGUAGAUGGGGACCGGCACAGCCCUCGCGGCUCUGAGACCCCGGUUGCGCCGGGGUCGCUCGGCCGCCCGCAUUCCGCUCCCGGCGCGGCCAGGGCUCCGCUUGCCAGGCUGUGGUGUCAGCGCGAUGUGCGGCCCGCGGCUGCCCGAAACCCACGGCAGGACACGCCGCCGCAGACGCUCGCCGGCCGGCCGCGGCCAGCGCAAACAGGAGGCGGCCUGGGCUUUCCGUCCGCAGAGGGAGGUGUUGAACUUGCAACCUCAAACUUGCCAGGCAGGCGCUGUGCUGCUGAGCUACGUCCCCGGCUCUAACAGUUGACUCUGAUGCACCUUUGUUAGCCAUUGCUACACUUGACCUCUGCAUGUGGUGUUCUAGAAGAAGCGCCAAGAUGUGGUGUGUGAAUUAGAGUUCAUCCACACCUAAGGAGCUUGCACACAGACUGUACUUUCCAGAUACCAUCUCAGGGGCCGAGGGUUAUACAGCUCAGCGGUAUGGUGCUUACCGAGUGUGGGAGAAGCUUUGGGUGUGGAUCUCCAGCAUGGCAAAAAGACACUGUCUCAGAGUUUGGAACCAUACCGUUGCUUUCUAGUGGCCUGAAACUCUGGAAACCACCUGGUGACCCGGCCUGCUGGGACUUUGCCUGGUCCACCCAGCCCAGCUUUCUGCUCAAGUUCCGGUGUAAAAAGUAGGGCUUCAAAUGCACAACAUAAGCUCUUCCUUGAAAACGCCACAUUUUGAAAAUGUCCCUGUCUGGUUCGUUUUCUAUAGCCAUUGCAAUAAACUGCCAGAAACUUGGUAGGUUGAAAC
rnacentral:lncRNA from 1 species